AAGCAAUUUGCUCAUAGCCAUAGCUUUCUUGUGAAAGUAGGAUAUUAACCCAGGUGUCUUGGUGCUGGAGAACAGAACUGGCCAGAGUCCAUCCUGUCUCCCACCGGCAUCCCAUUACGAAAUGAACACAGAAAAGGCAGGUCUGCAAUGCCAACAUCUAGUAUCUAUCCCAAAGACCAGGGAGAAAGGAAGGAAAGAUUCUGGUUCUGUCCUCUUCCCCAAGGCAAGGCUGGCUGCCCUACCAACAGAGGCAAAGAGAAGAGUGUGCAAGGCUGGCUGCCCUCCCAACAGAGGCAAAGAGGAGUGUGUGUUGAAAUAUCCAUUGAAUCCCUGAGACAACUGGAUCCUGGCCCAUUGAAUCAUAAACUCAUUUCAGAGAAGAUGAAACUGAUGUGCGUCAAAAAGUAAACUACCCACAUUUUAACUGGGCACAUUCCUGUCAAUCUGAUGAGAAUCUAUUUCAUACCCUGCUUUAGCUGGUAGUCUGUCAAGGAAAUGAGCUGAACAUGUCUGUGUACAGCUUUUGUGCCAUCCCUGGAUGAGCGAGCUGUCUGCCUCUAUGUUCUCCACAAAAUGGAAUAUAGCUGUACACCCAAGCCAAGUUAUGGAGGCUGGGAAGACCUAGAAUGUGGCAUCACUAUUUGCUGAAAUUUUUAAUAUAAUGCCUCUUAGCCUGGUUUGGAGAAAACGUCACAGAGAGGCACCAUUUGUUGUGGUUUUACAUGAAAAUUUUCUGACCCUGAACCUGGUUUGAUGGAAAUCAUUUGCUGAGGUUAUUUAGAAAAUUGUUACCUCAAAAAUGACCUAGGGGUCCUUAGAAUAAUAACACACAGAAGAAUAGCCUCAUUUUUCUGUUGGGCCCAGGAAACCAUGCCGAUUACCGACCGAGCUCUCAAUGGAAAAAUGCAGUCGGCGUGAACCACGCACGAACACAGCAGAGAAAGAAGAAAACACACACCACGAGGAACCCUAAUAGGACAAUACAUUAUAAGCCUCAUGGUACAUCCACUUGGUGUGCUGGGAGAGUCAGGAUGAGGACCUGAGAAGAACAGCAGCUUGAACCUGACUUCAUUUAACAGCCCACUGCCCUCUUGCCAAGAACCCAUCACAGACCUUCCCAGAAGAGAGGGAUGAGCCUCACCUAUGAAUAAGUCCUCAGAAACUCAAAUUUGAUUCUAAUGGAUUGUUUUCUCAGAAAGACUGAGCAUGUCCCCCCACAUCUCUGUCAUUUCCCACAGUAGUAACCUCUGCAGAUGCCACAUAGAAAACAAAACAAAACAAAAAAACAUGAGGUUGGUGGGCAGAUAGGCAGGGUAUAAACAAACAGCCUUGUAACCCAGAAGCUGUGUGAUAUACAGUAAACUUCACAACACUGAAAAGAUGUCCUAUCUGUUAAAAUGGGGUAAUAACAACUACCCGAAUGUUUAGGAAUAGAACUUCAAUAAAUGAUACAUUUUAUAGUACAGCAGACCAUCCUGUAAAGGUUUCAUCCUUCACUGUGGUGAUAAAUAUCCCAAACCACAUUGAAAAGCAUUGCAUCUACAUUUAUCUACACUGUAACUGUACUGUAAAUCAUGGGGGAGGGGAGAAUCAUAAAAACACCACCUGUCACCGUGUCAUUAAAGCAAGUUGGAAGUGAUACUUACAGAAACACAGCAAGAGCACCCCCAGUCACACAGUUCAAUCUCUUAGCAAGCGUUUUCUUUCUAGCCCAGUGGUUCUCAGUUUGGAAUUUUUGGCACUGCCUAGAGAUAGUUUUGUUGUUAAAACUGAGAAAAGAGCCGGGCGUGGUGGCACACGCCUUUAAUCCCAGCACUCAGGAGGCAGAGGCAGG
rnacentral:lncRNA from 1 species